UACGUAGGGUGCGAGCGUUAAUCGGAAUUACCGGGCGUAAAGCGUGCGCAGGCGGCGGCUCAAGUCAGGUGUGAAAUCCCCGGGCUUAACCUGGGAAUUGCGCUUGAAACUAGGUCGCUAGAGUGUGGCAGAGGGGGGUGGAAUUCCUGGUGUAGCAGUGAAAUGCGUAGAUAUCAGGAGGAACACCGAUGGCGAAGGCAGGUCUCUGGGCUGACACUGACGCUCAUGCACGAAAGCGUGGGGAGCAAACAGG
rnacentral:rRNA from 1 species